ACUUUUUGGCAGUUUACCAGAUUACCUAAUAAGGCAUUCUGGGUCUGUAAAUUGUUUCAAGCGUGGGAAUUGAUUGACUGAUGUGGCUCUCUGUUUUUACCAUUCAGAUUAAACUUUUGUUCACCUGAUCUGCAACAUUGCUGCUUAUACAGAAUGAGACAUUCAAAUAUUGAUGUCCAUAAGACACAUGUCUAGACUCAAGAGAAAAAGAACUUGUUCAUCAUGCAAAUAAAUAGAUAUUGAAAGAUAGCAGUGGGUGAAAUUGCCUACAAAGAGAUAGUCUAAGAACACUUCAUCAUGAGUCACCCAGCUGAGGUGAUCAGACAACCCAUGUCAGAACCAUUAAGUAAGCCAAACAGUCUUCACGUCACGGGAGUGGAACUCUUGGAUUUAGUUGUUUCUUCUACUUGUAUAAACCACAAAGACAGAAGCUAAUCCCUAUUGCACAGCCACGGUGCAGUUCUUCCACGACAGGCCCCGAGAAGUUGGCCUUGGUUUCAGAUAUGUCUAAUUAAGCCAUGGCGAUUUGGAGUGGGGAGAAUCAGAGGGCGGCUGAUGGCGUUUACAGCGGCUCCGUUGAGUAAGCAGUAAGACUCAUGUUUCCAAGGUGCACCCGGUUAUUCAGGUCAGUAGAUUUGCAUGACAAAUUUUUUGCACCUGGAAAUAUAAAUCGCAGCUUAAUAAUUACAUGUGCGGUAAAGGAAUUUAUUAAGGCCUCGGGGAAGAUUGGACUUACAGGCCAUGCCUCCUAACACCCAUGAGGAGCAAGCACAGGAGCUAGUUAAACGGGAACCCGUCUGAGCUCAGAGCAGGUGGGCACUCAGAGUCCAGGCCGUACUCUUUAUCUUUUUAUGGCGGCAGCAGGAGCCAGAGGUGGGAAACGCCUCUGAGCUACAGCAGCGGCGGCAGCAGAGAGGCAGGCCUUUCCUCCUUUACGUGAAAUACUCGAGCUUUGUGGGGACGGUUAAGCCCGAGAAUCUAAAGACAGUUUGAAUAGCUGCACUCUGAAAAUCUGGCAAGAUGAAAGGUUAUUGGGGAGUGCAAGAGGAGAUUCUGGACCAAGGAGGCCUGUCAGUCUAACUAGAAAUGUAAUCCCAUCCAAAGCCCAUGAAAGCUUGGGAAGUUGAUUGGUUCUUUUGAAAAAGCACCUGCCCAACCCCAAACCCAAGGUGUUGUGGCCAGAAGCUCUGGAUGAAACGGCUCUAAAAAUAGGAGACUUCGGUUCGUAGCCACGUCAGACUCCGCUCCUCUCUGCUGAUGGACUGUCAGUGAAAGGCAUUAAAUUAUCAAUUGUGGAUCAUUUGUGAGUACAAUUACCUCUCAUUCCCAAGUGGUGAAAAUAACCACAGACCUCGAUCAGUAACACUGUCUUCAGCAUCAUUGUCAACAUUAUCACUUACAUUUAUUAAACAGCUACAGUAAAUGUACAUGGCACUGUGUGGCUUGACCUGUCAGAAGGAACUAUCUUCUCUAGACCUCUAGACCUGCCCAGAGCUUUCCCUGCCUUGCAGAGGGAGUGCUGGGGUUAAGGAAACCCUUCACCUGGAAUGCCAAGCAAUCAACAUUACAGCUUUGGAAUGGAUGUCUUUUCUCGAGGCAUUGCUGUAGUGUGUUGUAGAAUUAAAGCGCAUAUAAAAGAGAAUGGAAGUGAUAUCUCUCCAUUCCUGCCUAAAGGAACAGGAAUUUUCCAGAUCUGUCACAACUGAACUCCCUAAAGAUUAGCUUGCCCAAUUCAUAUGAAUAUUACAUUACUUUCUUUAGCAUUCGUAGAAUCCAACAUGUUCUCUAGAGCAUGGCACUUAAUUGUUUUUAUUAUUAGUUCAAAACUAAAACAUGUUGAAUACAGUGCCAUGGCUGCUUCCUCUAAUUAGUAAAAAGACUGUGUUGAAUUUAAAAACAACGAACUCUUUUCAUGUCCAAGUUACUUUUAGUCGCUCCUAUAAAUUAUUACCUUCUUCCACAUCAGAGGUGUCUUAUGACUAAAGGAGGAGACAGCCCCUGUGAUGCUCUUUAACAAUGACUCUUAUGUUUCUUUUGGUAAACUCAUAACCUUAAUUACACUCUGCAACAGAUGGAGUGCCUUCCAUUGAGGACCUCAAUGCACCUUACACAUGUCAUGAGUCAUCAAAGCCCUUCUGUAAUGGGGAUAAUCUUCUUUGCUCAUAUAGAGAUUUUAAAUGGAAUCUAAUGAACAAACUGAACUCACAAGGAAAAUGGGGACAGACA